rnacentral:rRNA from 1 species
AUUGAACGCUGGCGGCAGGCCUAACACAUGCAAGUCGAGCGGAUGAAGGGAGCUUGCUCCUGGAUUCAGCGGCGUACGGGUGAGUAAUGCCUAGGAAUCUGCCUGGUAGUGGGGGAUAACGUCCGGAAACGGGCGCUAAUACCGCAUACGUCCUGAGGGAGAAAGUGGGGGAUCUUCGGACCUCACGCUAUCAGAUGAGCCUAGGUCGGAUUAGCUAGUUGGUGGGGUAAAGGCCUACCAAGGCGACGAUCCGUAACUGGUCUGAGAGGAUGAUCAGUCACACUCGAAAUAAGAAGCGGUCCAGACUCCUAAGGAAGCUGGUCAGAGGCAAUAUUGGCCAAUGGGCGGAAAUGAGAACGAGCAAUGCCGCGUGUGUGAAGAAGGUCUGCGGAUUGUAAAGCACUUUAAGUUGGGAGGAAGGGAAGUAAGUUAAUAACUUACUGUUUUAAAGUUACAAAAAAAAUAAGAACCGGAUAACUUCAUG